UAAGAUCAUUGAUGUCAUGCUAGUCU
rnacentral:piRNA from 1 species